GUGAAGAACGCAGCGAAAUGCGAUAAGUAAUGUGAAUUGCAGAAUUCAGUGAAUCAUCGAAUCUUUGAACGCACCUUGCGCCCUUUGGCCAUUCCGAAGGGCAUGCCUGUUUGAGUAUCAUGAACACCUCAACUCUUCAUGGUUUUCCGUGAUGAGCUUGGACUUUGGGGGUCUUGCUGGCCUAUGGUCAGCUCCUCUAAAAUAAAUCAGCUUGCCAGUGUUUGGUGGGUAUCACAGGUGUGAUAACUAUCUACGCUUGUGGUUUUCCACCAGGUAACCUUCAGCAGUGGAGGUUCGCUGGAGCUCACAGAUGUGUCUCUCCUCAGUGAGGACAGCUCUUUGAAUGUUUGAUCUCAAAUCAGGUAGGACUACCCGCUGAACUUAAGCAUAUCAAUAAGCGGAGGA
rnacentral:misc_RNA from 1 species